UACGUAGGUGGCAAGCGUUGUCCGGAAUUAUUGGGCGUAAAGCGCGCGCAGGUGGUCCUUUAAGUCUGAUGUGAAAGCCCACGGCUCAACCGUGGAGGGUCAUUGGAAACUGGGGGACUUGAGUGCAGGAGAGAAGAGUGGAAUUCCACGUGUAGCGGUGAAAUGCGUAGAGAUGUGGAGGAACACCAGUGGCGAAGGCGGCUUCCUGGACCGACACUGACGCUGAGGCGCGAAAGCUAGGGGAGCAAACGGG
rnacentral:rRNA from 1 species